AAGUGGAGCAGUGGAUCUCCAC
rnacentral:miRNA from 11 species